CAGAAAGUUGUUGGCACACACUUUGCUUCAAACAUGUGCAUGCACAAACACUCCCACUGACAUAAAGUAUGUUGUGAGUGGCCAGAAAGAGAUCCUCAGGCAUAUUCACACGAUUCGCAACAUCACAGGAACAUUAUGUGUGGCUGAGCUACUCGAACACUCAAAUGCAUAUCACACAGUUUUAUAACACAAUUGCCAUUUAGACUUUAUGGUUGUAUUCUGCACACGCUCGGCCUCUAACUUACUUUGCGUUUGGUAUACUGUUACAUUUUCAAAGUGAACCAUUAGUGGAGUCCAUUAGAUGGCCACACAUGUACUCAUAGAACUGAAGUUGCAUCCACAGACUUAUGUACUUUUUAAUGCAAAAUAAACCAUUGAAUGGUUGUCAGAAAAUCAACAACAAUUCAAUCAUAAUAAAUCAAUCAGCCAAACAUUUCCCGGGUUAAUCCCUUUAAAUUGAGAAUGUGCUGCUUUUCUGUUUUAUGUAAUUGGAAAUUGAACUAAUUUUGAAAAAAUGUUAGUCUGACAAAACAAACUAUUUGAAAACGCCAAUCUGGGCUCUGAAAAAUCGUCUCAGUUGUAAUACACAAAACGAAACUUGUGAACCCGCAUGAAUCUAUGCUAAAAUCCCACAAAACUGGCUUCAUUUAAUGAAAUAGAUGAGGGAUGUUUAAAAACAUGAUUAGGCAUGAGGUGUUUUGCAUGGUUUCACAGGUACACACAAACACACACAAAUGGAUAGGAUACAGAGGAAGAGGGCUGUAGACAGCAAGUUCCCAUCUCAGUCUUAUCUUUGCUUUUAGCCCCUGUCUCAUUCUCUUCACACCUCUGUCACAGUCCACAGUGCUAAUAGAUGCGCACCCACAUCACAGUGACUAAGAUAUAUUACAAGAGCCGAGACACUUACACAUCACACAUUAUGGGUAUAUUGUGUCCCUGUUUCAAAUUAUUCACAGUGCAAACUGACAGAGAGAUAGUGGGAAAAACUUUUGGUUACAAUGCCGACUGUUCGUUUCGGACAGUCAUUUUAUUUAAAUUGAACAUGUAGAGUACACAAAGCAGACACCCAAUCUCAGCUCCCCAGUGACUUUCUCUUUAUCUAUGCACACAGAGUUCCUUUUCCUGUUCUUUUUUUUUUUUUUUACAUCUGCUGUCACUACCUUCUGAACUGGAGAAAAAGUCUUGUCUGUGUUUCCGCUUUCAGUUCAAUAAACAUGCCCCCUACUCACAUUUGUGGUCACCCUGCCAAAGAUAGAAGAGCAGAGAACUACUUCUUGUGUGUGUGUGUGUGUGUGUGUGUGUGUGUGUGUGUGUGUGUGUGUGUGUGUGUGUGUGUGUGUGUGUGUGUGUGUGUGUGUGUGCGAUCAGACGAGAUAAAGGCGAGGUCACCCAGUGAGGGACUGGCUCAGGCAGAACAGAGGGUGGCUAUUUCUUUUAUCUUCACACGAUUGCAGAGGCACUCAUGCAUAGUGCACACAAAUACACUCCACUACACUCCCGUUAUGAAGAUUAAAUCUGCGAAGGUCACUAUUAGCAUUAAUAAAAGCAUGACAAAUUAGCAUCAGCGGAACAACAACGUGGGGGGGGGGGGG